rnacentral:ncRNA from 1 species
CAAAGGUUUGGUCCUGACUUUACUGUCAACUUUAGCUAGAUUUACACAUGCAAGUAUCCGCACCCCCGUGAGAAUGCCCUAACAGUCUCCUACCCGGAGACAAGGAGCUGGUAUCAGGCACGGCCUAUGCCUAGCCCACGACACCUUGCUAAGCCACACCCCCAAGGGAAUUCAGCAGUGAUAUACAUUAAGCCAUAAGUGAAAACUUGACUUAGUUAAAGCUAAGAGGGCCGGUAAAACUCGUGCCAGCCACCGCGGUUAUACGAGCGACCCAAGUUGAGAGACAACGGCGUAAAGAGUGGUUAAGAUACUAACAAACUAAAGCCGAACGCCCUCAAGACUGUUAUACGUUUUUGAAGGUAAGAAGUUCUACCACGAAAGUGGCUUUAAUUAACCCUGACCCCACGAAAGCUGUGAAACAAACUGGGAUUAGAUACCCCACUAUGCCCAGCCAUAAACUUUGAUGGCCCAUUACAUACCCAUCCGCCCGGGGACUACGAGCACGAGCUUAAAACCCAAAGGACUUGGCGGUGCUUAAGAUCCACCUAGAGGAGCCUGUUCUAGAACCGAUAACCCCCGUUUAACCUCACCCUCCCUUGUUUUUACCGCCUAUAUACCGCCGUCGUCAGCUUACCCUGUGAAGGACUAAUAGUAAGCAGAAUUAGUACAACCCAAAACGCCAGGUCGAGGUGUAGCAUAUGAGAGGGGAAGAAAUGGGCUACAUUCCCUAACGCAGGGAAUACGAACAAUGCAUUGAAAUAUGUGUUAGAAGGAGGAUUUAGCAGUAAGCAGAAAAUAGAGCGUUCCGCUGAAACUGGCCCUGAAGCGCGCACACACCGCCCGUCACUCUCCCCAAGCCACCAGACUUAAAUAACUAAUCACCCAAACAGGCGAAGGGGAGGCAAGUCGUAACAUGGUAAGUGUACCGGAAGGUGCACUUGGAAAAAU